rnacentral:sRNA from 1 species
GGAGUAACUAAAAUUUCAGUUCUUCAGUUACAAACGAAUAAAGAGUUAUUCCCCUUUUUGUAAUAUUUUUAAGUUUAAGUUUCAUCUUAGAACUGGUUGUUGACCCCUGACAUGUUUUUCUCUGAAAGUUAAUUGAAUAUCAGUAAAUAUAAUUAUCACAUUUCUUUAUAUUGAUCAUGUAAAUAGAAAACUCGUGUUUAUGUAAAUAGUUUUUUAACAAUAUUGUAACUAAGUUAAAAUGUACUGCUUUUUUUUCUUCAAAUUUUUUUUUCUGUCUAUUUACGUUAACCAUGAAAUACAUAAUACUUAUAUACACAUUAUUUUUGGUGAGUUGUAGCAAGCUAUAGGUAGAACUCAAUAAAUGUGAUAUUU